AUCACAACUGGGCGUUGUGGCGUGCGCCUGUACUGUAAUCCAAGCUGCAUUUCAAAGUUUCAAAUUGAUGCAGCAGCGCAGGGGUUCGAAGUUCGGCACACGUAUAUGGUUGACGCUCCCACAUCGCUGCGAAGCACAUCGAUGAGAAGUACAUUGGCUAUAGGCCGAUAUUUCAUUGAAAUCUUCAAAAUAUGAAAAAUCUGACUACCUAAGUUACGGCAUAGACUGUUCGUUCCUGUAUUUUGCUGGACAUUAGAAUUACCAAAGUUACAGCAUAGCUUGUUCGUUCCUGUAUUUUGCUUGAAGUUAGACUUCCCGUAAACAAAGAAGAACAGGUGCAAGCCCGAUAUGAGCCUCUAAUGGAAGCAGAUGAUGAUGAUGAUGAUGAUGAUGACAAUAGCAAUAAGAACAUCAAAACCUUCAAGCAGACAAGGCAAGUUAAGGGAGCAAGGAAGAGAUUCUGCUAAGCACUCCAACCGAAGAACGUGUAAUAUUCUGGGAAAGAUGAAGGAUUUGAGACGGUACAGAGUUCAUGCAGGAGGCAAACAAAGGAACAAGAAAGGUCAGCCGACGUACCAUGAUAGAAGGGAAGAGAGGAUAACAUUAGGACGUUAUCUGCUGAACCGAUUGAUGCAUGUUGACAACAGAUGUCAAAAGGGAGGAGAAUGUUUAUCUGAUAUCUUAGAAAAGCAAGAAGGAAAGAAUAAAGGGUACCAACAAGAACCCAAACACCAACAAUGUGAUAACUCGUCUUGGGGAUUACUGCCUGACUUGCGGUUAUUAGACCGCUUUUCAUCUAAUGAUUUGGGACCAUGUAGGAGUGUGCAUAGUGUACAAAGCCAUUCAUUUAUGCAGUUUCACUCCAUUGGAGUUCGAAUGUUCAUUGUUGAUGGAACUAGCUGGAUUGUGAUGAUUUCUGGGUUUUCUACGAAGAUUGCAGUGUUGGGUACCGGAAUCUGACCCUAGAAAGUGAUUGUUUUGGUCCUUGGUAUGGUUUUUAACCUGUAUCUGCCCUAGUCGGAGGUUUUUUCUUUUCCAAUUUGUUAUAUACUGAACAACUGUUGUGCUCAAGUGGGAAAUUAAAUUCCGCUCACAACCUACAACUCUCGUCGUAUCGUGUCUUGUGUUCUGGAGUGUCCUGACAACUUCCCCCAAAAAUCCAGAAUACUACAUUAUGUCAGUUCAAAGUUUUUCUGUAUUCAGCAAAACAGUUAUAUACACAUCAUGCUUUGUAUGCAAUUUAGAAAGUGAUGACAUCAAGUCACUAUUUCUUUUGUAUUUUUAUUAAAUAAAAUAUGAAAUAUUUCAUUUUUUUCCUCCUUAGAAAACAAACCAAGUUUGAUUCUAUUCUCACAUUCUUCAUAAACCAUUGAUAAAACCUGUUGUGAAGAAAUUAAGUGUAUCUGUGUUAUCAUAUUUUCAAAAACAUGAAAUUUGGUAUGAUUUAUGUAAUAAAAUGCAAAAGAAGUAGUGAGUAUGUGACAUCAUCAACUCAUUGAUUUGGACAUGACCACGAUUUGGUUAUAACUGUUUUGUAUAAGAUAACCAAUAUUUUAAAAUUACAUUACUUUCUUAUUUUCCAUGCAAUUUGUAUUAAGUGUGUGACAUAAUGUUUCCUAGAUUGUCCUCUUUUGGUUCAAAUCAAUUUUUGUUGGGGGUGGACUACUCCUUUAAGGAAAGUGUCUUAAAUUGGUUACUUAUGUUACAUUUUUGUAUUGUUUUAUAUUAUCCAUUUACUACUGUUUUAUUUGUCACUGCACUUGAGUGUUUCGUGAUUACCAAUGUAUUCAGAUAAUUGGAAAUUCAGUUUUGCUGUUGUGAUUCUUUUGUGAAAUGGUGAUUGAAUGUAAAAAAGAAAAUUUGCAUCCAUUUUAGAUUUCAGUUCAUAUGUCUGCCUUUUGGAGAAACAGUUACCUGACUAGAUUUCAAAGUGUGAAGAUUGAAGGUCUAUAGUGUUUUUUUGUUCAUGGAAAUAGAAAGUAAGAAAUAUUUUUCUGGUCGGGCAGUGGCGGAGGCAUACAUUUUGACCGUGCACAGUCGAGAUUUAUCUAGUUUUCAAUGAGAAUUGUGGCAACAUCAUUUUAAUCACCAAAAAACAUAGAUUGUUUUGACUGAGUAAAAGUAGAAAUAAUGACACAUUUAUGAAUUUUGGGAGAAAAGUUUAUUUGAUUUGUUUUGAUCAUUACAGCAUUUUAAAGCCUGACAGUCAUUUACAUAAUAUUGCAUAACUUGAGAACCACAUAUAUGAAUUUGAUAUGGAACAAUGUGCAAAGCUUGUAUGUAAAUUGUGUUGAACCACUGUGUUGAUGAGUUCUCAACAUUGUCAGUUUUCACAGUUGAUUUAACACCACAAAAAAUUAAGCCAGUUAUAUUUAAAGAGAUCUUCAUUACCAAUUGACCUGCGUGAAUGGUAAAACAUCCCACUAUUCAUAAAGGAAAGUUAUUAUUUUAGUUUCUCUUUAUACAUCAGUAACUGACAUUGUCUAAAGCAAGCUAAAGAAUUUUUAUUCCUCUGCUCAUCAAAAGUGGUUGCCGGUGGCAUUAUGUUUUGGAUUAUCCGUCUGUUCGUCCAUCCGUUCAUCUGUCUGUUCAUUCCAUUUUUGUUCUCGCAGUAACUCAAAAACCAUUUCACAGAUCAACUUCAACUUGGACCAUAUAUGCAUUAGGUGCUCAAAAUGAUUUCACACAUGCGUAUGCAUGUAUGUAUCGUUAGAAAAAAAUUAAUAUUCAUAUUCUGUUGGUACAUGAUCUCAUUAUUUAGGGUUAACAGAUCAAGGUCAAGGUCAGAAAGUUCAAGCAAGUACAUAAUAAAUACUCUGUUCUUGCUACAACUCAAAAACAGUUUCAUGGAUUCACUUGAAACUUGAAUCCUGUAUGGAAUGGCGGUGAAGAAGAUCUCAUCAGUUUAAAGGUCAUGAGGUCAGAGGUCAAGUUCACAAAAUUAAAAAAAAAUAGAUAAAAAUACUCAUUUUUACUUUUACAAUUUUGUAGAUCAUCUUGUAACUUUGAUUGUGUAUGCAUCUGUAAUGAAUUUUUGCUUUUCGCUUAAUGGACUUUUUGCAAAAAAUAUCAAACAACAAAAAUGGUCUACUCCACCAGGCCCCCCCCCCCUCUUCCCAGUGAAUUGUUAAACUAAGCAUCACUUUUCUGUUUAGAUGCAGUAUUUUGCAAUAAUACAUUAUAUGAAUGAAACUUUAUGUAUGUAGUCUGUGUAUGUAUUUAGGAUCCCUAUGAUAUUGGAAUAACAAUGUAAGCCCAAGCCUUCAGGGCUUUGGGUAACAGUUAAAAUGCUGUGAACCUUUUAAUUUGAUUAUUAUGAAUUAUUUGUUGAUCAUUGUUAUUGUAUUUAUAUUUUCUUUUUUAUGUUCAGAAAUCUGUCAUUAUCUUUUAUGGCUUUUGAUUGUACAAAUAAAGAUAGAAAAUAAAAAUACUAAAGAGUA